rnacentral:rRNA from 1 species
UCGAUUAAUUAAGACAAUUGAAGCGAG